UCGGGAAUUUUGGGCAAUGGGCGAAAGCCUGACCCAGCAACGCCGCGUGAGGGAUGAAGUAUUUCGGUAUGUAAACCUCGAAAGAAUGGGAAGAAUAAAUGACGGUACCAUUUAUAAGCUCCGGCUAACUACGUGCCAGCAGCCGCGGUAAUACGUAGGGAGCAAGCGUUGUUCGGAUUUACUGGGCGUAAAGGGCGCGUAGGCGGCGCGGUAAGUCACUUGUGAAAUCUCUGAGCUUAACUCAGAACGGCCAAGUGAUACUGCUGUGCUAGAGUGCGGAAGAGGCAACCGGAAUUCUGGGUGUAGCGGUGGAAUGCGUAGAUAUCAAGAGGAACACCUGAGGCGAAGGCGGGUUGCUGGGCCGACACUGACGCUGAUGCGCGAAAG
rnacentral:rRNA from 1 species